GAUGAACGCUGGCGGCGUGCUUAACACAUGCAAGUCGAGCGAUGAAGUUUCCUUCGGGAAACGGAUUAGCGGCGGACGGGUGAGUAACACGUGGGUAACCUGCCUCAUAGAGUGGAAUAGCCUUUCGAAAGGAAGAUUAAUACCGCAUAAUGUUGAAAGAUGGCAUCAUCAUUCAACCAAAGGAGCAAUCCGCUAUGAGAUGGACCCGCGGCGCCUUAGCUAGUUGGUGGGGUAACGGCCUACCAAGGCGACGAUGCGUAGCCGACCUGAGAGGGUGAUCGGCCACAUUGGGACUGCGACACGGCCCAGACUCCUACGGGAGGCAGCAGUGUGGAAUAUUGCAAAAUGGGGGAAACCCUGAUGCAGCAACGCCGCGUGAGUGAUGAAGGUUUUCGGAUCGUAAAGCUCUGUCUUUGGGGAAGAUAAUGACGGUACCCAAGGAGGAAGCCACGGCUAACUACGUGCCAGCAGCCGCCGUAA
rnacentral:rRNA from 1 species